rnacentral:rRNA from 1 species
AGAAUCACAGCCCUUUACCCCGAAACCAGGUGAGCUAUUCUUAAGCAGUCUAACGGACGCACCCUUCUAUGUAGCAAAAUAUGUGGGAAGACUUAAAAAUAGAGGUGAAACGCCUACCGAACUUGGAGAUAGCUGGCUACCCUAAACAGAAUCUAAGUUCUACUUUAGAAUAGCAUUUUAACUAAUUAACCGUCUAAAGAUAAUCAAUAGAGGUACAGCUCUAUUGACUCAGGAUACAACCUGAAUUUGUAAGAAAACUAUACCAGCCUUAACCCGUAGGCCCUCAAGCAGCCACCCAAAAAAAUAUCGUCAAAGAAUUAACCUAAACAAACCCAACACCAACCAAAAACUUCAAACUAACUAAAGGUGGACCUACACAAGUAGGUAUCAUUAUGCUAAAACUAAUAAUAAGACAACAUCUCUUUUACGUACCCCUCCACUAGAAACAGAAGAACUACUAGUAAUUAACAGACCACAAAAGGGACAACAAACCUAUACACACCUUUAAGCCAACUGUGACCCCAACACAGGAACGUUAAAAAGAAAGAUUAACUGUUGUAAAAGGAACUCGGCAACCAAGGACCCCAACUGUUUAACAAAAACAUAACCUUUAGCUAAACAAGUAUUAAAGGCAACGCCUGCCCAGUGAAUAAUUAAACGGCCGCGGUAUCCUAACCGUGCAAAGGUAGCAUAAUCAUUUGUCUAUUAAUUGUAGACCUGUAUGAAAGGCUAAAUGAGAGUCCAACUGUCUCUUACAACAAAUCAAUAAAACUGAUCUCCUAGUACAAAAGCUAGAAUACUGACAUAAGACCAGAAGACCCUGUGAAGCUUUAACAAACCCAUUAAACCAAAUAAUGCUUACUUUCGGUUGGGGCGACCUUGGAAUAAAAAAGAACUUCCAACAUAUGACCUCCUCAUAAAACAAGGCAAACAAGCCAAUAUUAGAUCCAGCACCGCUGAUAAUUGAAAUAAGUUACUCCAGGGAUAACAGCGCUAUCUUCUUUAAGAGCCCAUAUCAAAAAGAAGGUUUACGACCUCGAUGUUGGAUCAGGACAUCCCAGUAAUGCAUCCGUUACUAAAGGUUCGUUUGUUCAACGA